AACACAUGCAAGUCGAGGGGCAGCGCGGGGUAGCAAUACUCCUGGCGGCGACCGGCGCACUGGUGAGUAACACGUAUGCGACCUGCCCCGGACAGGGGGAUAAACCCGGGAGACUGGGCCUAAUACCCCCAUAUGCCCCGAUGGCGCAUGCCUUCAGGGUGAAAGAUCCGUCGGUCCGGGAUGGGCAUGCGGCGCAUUAGCUAGUUGGCGGGGCAACGGCCCACCAAGGCGACGAUGCGUAGGGGUUCUGAGAGGAAGGUCCCCCACACUGGUACUGAGACACGGACCAGACUCCUACGGGAGGCAGCAGUGAGGAAUAUUGGUCAAUGGACGAUAGUCUGAACCAGCCCAAGUCGCGUGCGGGAUGAAGGCCCUCCGGGUCGUAAACCGCUUUAGCCGGGGAGUAACGUGGGGGUCGUGACCCCCAGUGAGAGUACCCGGAGAAUAAGCAUCGGCUAACUCCGUGCCAGCCGCGGC
rnacentral:rRNA from 1 species